GCCCAAAACCUACUAAACAGAUGAGCCCAAAACCCACUAAAUCCAAAACCCAAUAGCAGCCCAAUUCAAACCCUAAAACAAAAAAAAGAACCAAAACCCUAGCCUAAUCAGCUGCUGGCCGCCCCUGACCCUUGUCCCAUCCACCACCGACGUCUGCAACACCGCCCCACCAUCCUCCAACUGGCACCAUCAUUUCACCUGCAAGCAUUAAACGAGAGUAGACAGAAAGCAAAUGGCAUGUAAAUGGCUAUUUAAAGCCAAAAAUAAAACAUUUGUACAUUCGGUUCUUUUUGGUGAGAAAUAAAAAAGAAGACUCAAUACCAAAACUGAGAUUAGAAAACAUCAACAAAUCGCAAGAAAUAAAACAAAGCCCAAGGAAGAAAUCAAAAUCAGUAAGUCAAAGGCACAAAAUAUCCAAUCAAGAGAAAAACAUUAAAAGAAGAAACGAAAACAUAGAAUCAAAAAUCAGAGGAACAAAGGUGAUUUCAUUUUCUUUCAAUUUGUUUCAUUUUUCUUUCUUUUCUAUUUUCCACGCCCUUUUAUUCGCAUAUAUACAUAUAUUGUAAACAAAAAUAAUAAUAGAAAAAAAGAAGAAGAAGAAAUAUACCCUUUUUUGAAACUCCGGCCACCGCACGCGUUGGCCGGCGACGGCGCCGGCGGCGGGGGCGCGACGGACGGCAAGGAGUGCUGGCCGGACCUAGGGCACCUGCAGAGAAAAAGAAGAGGAGAAGUUUUUU
rnacentral:lncRNA from 1 species